rnacentral:rRNA from 1 species
GACGGAGGGUGCUAGCGUUGUUCGGAUUUAUUGGGCGUAAAGCGUGCGUAGGCGGCUGCGCAAGUCGGGUGUGAAACCCCGGGGCUCAACUCCGGAACUGCAUCCGAUACUGCGUGGCUAGAGGUAGGUAGGGGAGAUCGGAAUUCCUGGUGUAGCGGUGAAAUGCGCAGAUAUCAGGAGGAACACCAAUGGCGAAGGCAGCUCGCUGGGACGGUACUGACGCUGAGACGCGAAAGCGUGGGGAGCGAACAGG